rnacentral:lncRNA from 1 species
AUAUAAAAUUUUAAAAUAAAAAAAUUGAUCUACAUAUAUUAAAUAUAUAUUAAAAAAUAAUAACUACGUUGAUCAAUCAAAAAUUUUUUACGUCAGCUAAGUAACAAUGCCAUGCAUAAAAUUACCAAAUCCAUCGAGUAUUUGUUUUUUUUUAGUUGCUGCUCACGCGCGAAACAGGUUCAAUGAAACAUGAUGCAGCUCGCCGUUGUAGAAACUGCCCCGG